UAAAAUCGUGCAAUUCAAUUAUUUCACAGAUAUUUCUUACUUUUCUUUAUAUUAAACCUUGUAUUAAUUUAAACUUUGUAUUAAGCGACCCAAACAAUGAUACAAACAAGUUUCAGAGAAAUUCAUCAUUAAAAGAUAACUCGAUCGACCAAUAGAUGUGUACGCGUUCAUCCUCGUGCAGUUGCAAUGCAAUGCCAGCUUUGAUGGGAUUGGUGAACAGUUUGCGCGACGUUGUAACAUGAAAUAGCCAUUUCGAUCGUGUGGCUGGAAAAAAAAACGAGGCAACUAGGAGUGGAAAAAAGAAAGAAGAAACGAGAGUCCAUUCACGAGGAGUUUAGCUGGCUAAGGUCACGGUGCAACAAUCUUCCGGCUGUUGGUAUGCGAUCGGAUGGAAGGCGCAACGAAAAUUGUAAUCACCAACUUCGAUGUAAAAUUAACGAAAGAAAGAAGAUAGCAAAAGGA
rnacentral:misc_RNA from 1 species